UUAUGCUUUUCAUUCAACUCACCGCUAGCUACUACAUAUAGCAAUAAAAGAACAUUACACGACAGCGUCAUGAUCAAUAUAUAAUAAGAACCAUCAAUAUCACUUGAAAGUUGUUCAACUUAAGAAACAUAUAACAUCAAUGUAUCACAUUCAUCUUAACAUACUAAUUAAUUAAUUAACAGCUCUCCAGCUGAUAGUUCUAAACAUGGUCAACAACAACCAUCAUCUGAUAGACCUUGCGGUUGCUCUUCCUUAUAGUGAUUACCACAAGGGUGUCCACCCUUAGUUCUCUC
rnacentral:lncRNA from 1 species